CCUGUUGUUCCGUCAACAGUAGCCUAUGGGAACGUGCGGUAUUAAGCAAUGAACCCGUGCGGUAACAGAACCAACAAUGAAGCCCUUCCGAAAGGAGAAGUCUGAACCGUGAGGGGAUGACAACUGCCGUUAGUAUCGAACGACAGGGGAG
rfam:Barnesiella viscericola DSM 18177, complete genome.